GAUGAACGCUGGCGGCGUGCCUAAUACAUGCAAGUCGAGCGAACAGAUGAGGAGCUUGCUCCUCUGACGUUAGCGGCGGACGGGUGAGUAACACGUGGAUAACCUACCUAUAAGUCUGGGAUAACUUCGGGAAACCGGAGCUAAUCCCGGAUAAUAUAUUGAACCGCAUGGUUCAAUAGUGAAAGACGGUUUUGCUGUCACUUAUAGCUGGAUCCGCGCCGCAUUAGCUAGUUGGUAAGGUAACGGCUUACCAAGGCAACGAUGCGUAGCCGACCUGAGAGGGUGAUCGGCCACACUGGAACUGAGACACGGACCAGACGCCUACGGGAGGCAGCAGUAGGGAAUCGGCCGCAAUGGGCGAAAGCCUGACGGAGCAACGCCGCGUGAGUGAUGAAGGUCUUCGGAGCGUAAAACUCUGUUAUUAGGGAAGAACAAAUGUGUAAGUAACUAUGCACGUCGUGACGGUACCUAAUCAGAAAGCCACGGCUAACUACGUG
rnacentral:rRNA from 1 species